rnacentral:rRNA from 1 species
UACGGGGGGGGCAAGCGUUGUUCGGAAUUACUGGGCGUAAAGGGCUCGUAGGCGGCCAACUAAGUCGGACGUGAAAUCCCUCGGCUUAACCGGGGAACUGCGUCCGAUACUGGAUGGCUUGAGUUUGGGAGAGGGAUGCGGAAUUCCAGGUGUAGCGGUGAAAUGCGUAGAUAUCUGGAGGAACACCGGUGGCGAAGGCGGCAUCCUGGACCAACACUGACGCUGAGGAGCGAAAGCCAGGGGAGCAAAGCGGGG